ensembl:lncRNA
GUGCUUGUUUACAGUGAGUCUGAGGAGCAGAGAUUGUGAAACUGUUCCUGGAUUGAGUUUCACUGCUGCUCUUCAUAUUUAGAUCUUCAUCAGAGUCAGUGAGAAUCACCAGCACACGAUAUUACACUGAAGAAUGUUCCAGAUGGUUCAGUUCUUAGUUCCCUCGGGGUCUAAGAGACCCAGUAACAUCAGCCUAUCUCCCCCGACCGGACAGAACCGGACUCAGAGCGCUUCCAAUGAGUUUCUACAACACGUCCGGAGAGUCAGCGGUCUGAAACAGCAGGACGUGUUUUAUAACCUGCGUGUCCCAAACCAGUGUGAGAGCGACAGAGACGAGAUCAACCUGCUGCUGCUCACAGGUCACGGAGUGUUCUGCAUCGAUCUGAAGACGUGGAGCGGCUCAGUUUCGGUUGCGAGCGAGGUCAGAGCGGAGCAGCAGAACUUCACCAGUGUCUCCAUCCAGCAGCUGCCCGACGCUCUUCAGGCCAUUACAGUGAAAACCAGCAACCUGCACAGUCACAUGAAGCGCUGCGGGCUGAGCCUCCGACCCAGUCUCUUCAUUCCCAGAGUGCUGUUCUUGUCUGCGGAUGGUGUGCUGAGCGAGGAUCUGCUGCAGAAGGAGCAGCUGCUGUCCUGCACAGAUGUGGAGCCGUUCCUGCGCUCGCUGCGCUCGGGAUACAUGUCCUGGCUCUCCGACGCCUUCACGCCGUCCUGGAUCUCAGGUCACCUGUCGUACGGGCAGAUGCGGGCGGUGCGGGAGCGGCUGGAGCUCUUGGGCACCUGGGAUGUGCUGCAGAUGAGCAGCGGUCAGGAGAUCGCCGGAGACUUCCAGGGCUGCCAGCAUCUCGCCCUCAACCGACAGGAAACAGAGCUGCUGGAGUUCAGCAGAACAGGAAGUGUGAUCACUGACACGCUGUGGAGCCUGCUGGGACACACGCCACAGGUCGCUGUCUCUAUGUAUAAGCGAGGAGCGCAGGGGUGGCUGGGUAAACCGCUGAUCGCCACGGCAACCAUCCCCUCCAGCACACGCGUGAUCUUCCGCAUCCGAGGAGAAGCAACGGACGCCAAGAUCCCGGCCGGAAGCAUCCGCUCCAUCACACUGAGCAUCUGAUCCCAACACUGACGCUUUAUUCACUCAGCAAUCAUUCAUUCCAUGUGCUCGAUAGCAGUGAGUAUUAUUCAGAGUAUCGUCACUACUGACACCACUAAUGUCUUUAUCACACGAAUGAACAAGUUUAAAUAUUUCAAAUGUGCUUUAUAUCUUUUUAAUGACAGAAAAUGAUUUAGUGCAGCUUUAAUAUUUGAUAAUUGCUGAGAAAUGUUUUGCCUUUCUAAUCAAACAUGAGCCUGUAUUGUGAACAGAUUUUAAGUUCCAGUUUUCAUGUUUUCAUACUCUUGACAAUCCAGUAAAUCUUCAUGGUAAUUUUUAAAAUGUACUAAUUUCUUUAAAGUGACCUAAAACUCUGAACAUUGAAAGGAUCCUAGUUGGUAUUGUCAUUCUAUGAACAUUUCUUGGCCUUGUUAGUGAGAAUAUUCAGAUGAUGAAGAUAUUUUGAUCUGUUUAAGCCUCAAUAACAUUUUUCUAAUCUCAGUUUUGAGUUAAUUUGAAAUGAGUGAUAUUUCAUGCAAUAAAAUACUUAUUUCUGUCUCA